CCUACGGGUGGCAGCAGUGAGGAAUAUUGGUCAAUGGCCGGAAGGCUGAACCAGCCAAGCCGCGUGAAGGACGAAGGUGCCAAGCAUUGUAAACUUCUUUUGUCAAGGGACAAAAUCAUGCUCGAGAGCCUGACCGAGGGUACUUGAAGAAAAAGCAUCGGCUAACUCCGUGCCAGCCGCCGCGGUAAUACGGAGGAGGCGAGCGUUAUCCGGAUUUAUUGGGUUUAAAGGGUGCGUAGGCGGACUGUUAAGUCAGCGGUAAAAGCCCGGGGCUCAACCCCGGCGCGCCGGUGAAACUGGCUGGCGUGAGAGGUCGAGAGGUAGGCGGAAUGCGCAGUGUAGCGGUGAAAUGCUUAGAUAUUGCGCAGAACACCGAUUGCGAAGGCAGCAUACCGGCGGCGAACUGACGCUGAGGCACGAAAGCGUGGGUAUCGAACAGGAUUAGAUACCCCUGUAGUC
rnacentral:rRNA from 1 species